AUUGAACGCUGGCGGCAGGCCUAACACAUGCAAGUCGAACGAGUGGCGGACGGGUGCGUACUGUCUGGGAACCUGCCCUUAAGUCUGGGAUACCAUUUGGAAACAGAUGCUCAUACCGAAUACUAAAGGUUGGACCUGCGAUGCAUUAGCUAGUUGGUAAGGUAACGGCUUACCAAGGCUAUGAUGCAUAGCCGAGUUGAGAGACUGGACAGCCACACUGGAACUGAGCCACGGUCCAGACUCCUACGGGAGGCAGCAGUGGAGAAUAUUGCGCAAUGGGCGCAAGCCUGAUGCAGCCAUGCCGCGUGUAUGAAGAAGGCUUUCGGGUUGUAAAGUAAUUUCAGCGAGGAGGCGUUACUCGCAGAAGAAGCACCGGCUAACUCCGUGCCAGCCGCCGCGGUAAUUC
rnacentral:rRNA from 1 species